GCCCUCUUAGGACCACACUUGGAGAGUUUCCAGUACUCUACCAGUCUUGGCUAUGGGAGGGAGAGUCAAGCAGAGGCCUACCCAUUCCAUUCCUAGCUUGGCGAGUGGUUAGCCAGUGGAAGGAAGUCUGCUACAGGU
rfam:Ornithorhynchus anatinus chromosome 11, whole genome shotgun sequence.